UACGAGAGGCCCAAACGUUUAUUCGGAAUUACUGGGCUUAAAGAGUUCGUAGGCGGCAUGAAAAGUAGGGUGUGAAAGCCCUCGGCUCAACCGAGGAAUUGCGCUCUUAAACUGUCGUGCUCGAGGAACCUAGAGGUGAGCAGAACAGAUGGUGGAGCGGUGAAAUGCGUUGAUAUCAUCUGGAAUACCGGAGGCGAAGGCGGCUCACUGGGGGGUUUUCUGACGCUGAGGAACGGAAAGCCAGGGUAGCGAACGGG
rnacentral:rRNA from 1 species